CAAUCGGCGAGUGGGCCGCGGGGGUCGCCGCGGUUCCCGCCAAAUACGAGCGCGGCGGCCGCGGCAGCAGCGGCGCGGGCGGGAGGGCGAGCAGCAGCGGCCGCCUGAGCGGAGCCCGCGCCUCCGCCGCCUGAGGGAUCCUCGAGACGCCGCCGGGGCCAUGCUGGAGGAGCCGGAGUGCGGGGCGCCGGGCGCCCGGGAAGCGGCCGCAGCCAUGGAUUGCAAAGACAGACCAGCUUUUCCAGUCAAGAAGUUAAUACAAGCUCGUCUGCCGUUCAAGCGCCUGAAUCUCGUCCCAAAGGAGAAGGCCGACGACGGGUUGGACGACGCGGGGGGCACUCAGGGUGCUUCUGUGCAGGGUCACGUCCCCGCUUUAGAGACCUCUUUGGACCACUUGGAGGACAACUGUCACGUGGGCUCCGACAUAGAUUUUAGGCCAAAACUUGUCAACGGGAAGGGCCCCUUAGAUAACUUUUUAAGAAGUCGAGUCAAAACCAGUAUUGGCCAGACUGUGGUCAUCAUUGAUUUGACGGAGGACUCGAGUGACCCACUGUACAGCGCUGUGGGCCACGAUAAACUAAAUUCCGCAGCCCCUCCCCCCCAGAAGAACAUAAAUGGGGUCAUAGACGAAGCUGGGGAUGACAGGGGGCUGCCAACGGCCAGUCAGAAGGAUGAGCUGGCAUUUCCCGAAGAGGCCCUUUCAGACCUUCUGUGCAAAACAAAGGCAGGGGGUACCGACUCCGGGGGCGCAGAGAGGAGGGGACUCGUGCAGAAGGGCUCACCCCAAAGUUGCCCUAAGCCGACCAGCGGCCUGAGAAUGUGCUCCGAGAAGGACCGGGACGGCUGGAGCGGAGCUGGGGGCGUCCUCUUCAAAGGGAAGGUGCCUGUGGUCGUCCUGCAGGAUGUCCUGGCUGCCAGGCCCCGAGCCAGGUCUCCCCCCGCCACACCUCCAGGCCAGGCCACGCCCUCCGAGAGCGAGACGCCGGAGUCCAGCCCCGAAGAGGACUCUGUCCUGAGCCAGUCGUCCCUGAGCUCCUCCUCCCCUGCCAGCUCACCCGAGGGGCAGUCUGUGCCUGCGAAGCAGCACGGCAGCGCCAGUCCCCUCCUCGCCUCCACACCCGUCCACAGAAUAAGUAAGAAAUUGGUCAAAGGCUCUGCAGAGAAGAACAAGAUGAGACUGCAAAGAGACGAGGAGCGCCUGGGCAGGCAGCUGAAGCUCCGGGCCGAGAAGGAGGAGAAGGAGAAGUUGAGGGAGGAGGCCAAGCGCGCCAAGGAGGAGGCCAGGAGGAGGAGGGAGGAGGAGAAGGAGCUGAAGGAGAAGGAGCGGCGCGAGAAGCGGGAGAAGGACGAGAAGGAGAAGGCGGAGAAGCAGCGGCGCAAGGAGGAGCGGCGCAAGGAGCGCCAGGAGGCCCUGGAGGCUAAGCUGGAAGAGAAGCGGAAAAGGGAAGAGGAGAAACGGUUGAGAGAAGAAGAAAAGCGCAUUAAAGCUGAGAAGGCAGAAAUCACCAGGUUCUUUCAGAAACCAAAGACUCCACAGGCCCCCAAGACCCUGGCCGGUUCCUGUGGGAAGUUUGCCCCCUUUGAAAUUAAAGCGCACAUGGUCCUCGCCCCUUGCUGUCGGACCGCCUUCGACCAAGACCUCUGUGACCAGUUAGACCAGCUCCUCCAGCAGCAGAGCGAUGAAUUCUCCUUCCUGAACGAUCUGAAAGGCCGGCAGCCCCUCAGGUCUGGCCCCACUGUGGUUUCUAACAGGAACACAGACCUUUUUAACAGCGACAUGGUGAUCGUGGAAAGCAGCAAAGUGGACGGCGUCCCCAAGAGGAGAAGGUUUGGCAGGAUGAAGCUCCUGCAGUUUUCCGAGAACCACCGGCCAGCCUACUGGGGGACGUGGAACAAGAGGACGACGGUCAUCCGCCCGAGGGACCCCUGGGCCCAGGACAGGGACCUCCUGGACUAUGAGGUGGACAGCGACGAGGAGUGGGAAGAGGAGGAGCCGGGGGAGUCCCUCUCCCACAGCGAAGGGGAUGAGGAUGACGACGUGGGUGAGGAUGAGGACGAGGAUGACGGUUUCUUCGUGCCCCACGGGUACCUGUCUGAGGAUGAAGGAGUGACUGAGGAGUGUGCCGACCCGGAGAAUCACAAGGUGCGCCAGAAACUGAAGGCCAAGGAGUGGGAUGAGUUUCUGGCCAAGGGGAAGAGGUUCCGUGUCCUCCAGCCUGUGAAGAUAGGCUGCAUCUGGGCGUCCGACAAGGACGGCGGCACCGAUCUGAAGAUGCUGCAGCAGUUCACAGCGUGCCUGCUGGAGACCGUGCCCCCCGAGGAGGAGCAGACGCCCAAGGCCUCCAAGAGAGAGAAGAGGGACCAGCAGAUCCUGGCCCAGCUGCUCCCGCUGCUGCACGGGAACGUGAACGGGAGCAAGGUGAUCAUCCGGGAGUUCCAGGAGCACUGCCGCCGAGGGCUGCUCAGCAGGGACGCCGGCAGCCCCGAGCGCCGCGCCGCCAGCCCCCCGAGCCCCGGCCCUUCCCGCCCGCCGACGCCCCCCGCAGGCGAGGACGCCGCCGUCCCCUCCAAGGCCAGGCUCAAGCGCAUUAUUUCUGAGAACUCGGUGUACGAGAAGAGGCCCGAGUACAGGAUGUGCUGGUACGUCCACCCGCAGGUGCUGAAGAGCUUUGCCCAGGAGCACCUGCCCGUCCCCUGCCAGUGGAGUUACGUCACCGCGGUGCCCUCGGCCGCCAGGGAGGACAGUGGUGGCGUGCCCGCCCCGGGGCCCGGCCAGGGCACGCCCGUCUCGCUCAAGAGGAAGUCGGCGGGCAGCAUGUGCAUCACGCAGUUCAUGAAGAAGCGGCGGCACGACGCACAGGCACUUGACGUUAGAUUCCCGCAUUUCAGUGGUGCUUCAUUAUUUAUGGAGCUCCCAGGAAAGAGAAAAUGCUUCCGAAUAAACUGGGCGCCCCCUCCCCAGGCGGGAGAGGGUGAUUUGUGAGAGUCAGUGACACGGACCCUGCAUCCGACGAGACACAAGUGAACAGCAGUCAGUGCGGCUUCUCCCCCUUCACGGGCUUUGAAGAGGCUCUGCGGCGAGGUCGGGACUCACGGAAGCCUGCGCAGCGGGUGGGUCUGGGUGUGCUGGCCACAGUGGGUCUGGGCGUAGGUGCUAAAGUCUGCAUUUAAAAGCCCGUUCUCGGGGAGGCCCCAGGACCACAGCGUGGGCCAGCACAGUGGGUGCAUCUCGGGAAGGGAGGCUCAGAGCACCAGCUGUUCGGGUGGUAGGGAGUCAUCCCUCAUCCUUCUCUGAGCACUUGAGGCAGGACACCCUGCUGUGACAGCACUUUGUCCCCUGGGGCCGUGCAGGCCUCGGGUACAACGCCCCCUGUGUCCCUUAAACGCUUGGGAGUUUGCCUCCAGCAACAAGAGGUCCUGAGCCUGUGAACGCUGUGUCCGGAGCCAGGCUCCUCCUGUCUCCCGCUGCCUCCUGCCUUCGUUUGUGGCCUCGUCUUCACGGUGGCAGAAGGGCUGCUGCACCUCCAGCCAGCAAGAUGAGGGUGGCCAAGCCCACCCUGGGGAGGAUUCCCGUUUAGCUGGGUGGGGAGGCAGACUCCCUCCGGGGUCUUUCUGACAGGAAUGCUCUGGCAGGAAUGCUCAGCUGCAGGAGAGGCUGGGGCAAUGAGACCUUGACCAACAAAAUUCUGGCUGUUUCGGAAGGGCAGGUGGGGGAUAGCUCUGUGUGCGUGUUGAGCAGGGCCUGCACUGCACGGCGCCAGCGUGAAGCGGGAGCCGCGGGUGAGACUUCCUGGGCAGGAUGGGAGGCCUGGGGGCGUGCGGGAUGCUUCCCCUGUGUUUUGGUAAAGGCACUAACUGAUCCUCCCGCACGCUUGGGGAUAAUCGUGGCUAAACUGUAAAUAUGUGAAUAUCUUAGAUUGGGUUGGGCUUUUUUAAUUUGUGGGAAUUUUAUUUUAUUUUGUUUUAUGUUUUUAAUGGUUGCACAUUGGCUUUUUCUAAGUAUACUUUUUUCUAUUUUUUAAAUCUAUUUUUACUUAUUUGUUUAUUUAGCCGUUGUGUCUUCAUUGCUGCGCACGGGCUUUCUCUAGUUGUGGCGAGCAGGGGCUCCUCUUACUUGCAGUGCGCGGGCUCCUCAUGGCAGUGGCUUCUCUUGUUACGGAGCACGGGCUCUAGGCGUGCGGGCUUCAGUAGUUGUGGCACACGGGCUUGGUUGCUUCGCAGCAUGUAGGGUCUUCCUGGACCAGGGAUCGAACCUGUGUCCCCUGCGUUAGCAGGCAGAUUCUUAACCACUGUGUCACCAGCCAAGUCCAGUUGGUGGGAAUUGUAAAAUCUCUUCGUUUAGAGUUGAAAGUAGCCACGCUACCUUACGGGGUUACAAGGUACCAUGAUCUAGUGAGACGAACCGGCUGAGAUCAGGUGCUGGUUCUGCCGCCAAGUACGUGUGUGGCCCUACAGUGACUCAGCUCUUCGGCCUUGAUGUUGUUAUUUUUACUUGGGCAGCGGCUCUGUUUGCCCUUUCCAGUCUCACUGCUUCAUGGUCGUUAAGUGUCUUCCUAACUCCAAAGGCUCCCUUUCCAGCCCUGCACCCUCGGCCUGCAGUGGUGACAGCAGUGUGGAGAGCUGUCCCGUGGCCAUCAGCGCAGCAGGACUCACGACACCAUCCUGAGUCCUCAGUGUAGAGGCUUGAACCCUGUCACAUGCCUGCGGGGCUGGGGACGGGAGUUCCUCCUAGAAAUCCUCGUUCACCUGCACUGGGCUUCCUGUCUGGAGGCCCGGCGACUGGGGAAGGCUCUAAAGAGACCCGUCUGUCCCCUCGCUUACCCGGCACAGGGGGAGCUGCGCAGUCUCCUCUCCUUGUAUCAGCUCUUUUGAAACAGGUCGUGGGAAGCGGCCCGCAUCCGCCCCCAGCGGCGUCUCUGCCUGGGCGGCUCCCAGCCCGAGGAGCCCGGCCUGGAGCUUCUGCACUAGAGCUGCAGGGACUGCGAGCGUGAGCCCCGUCUGGCCUCCAGGCUGGGGAAUUGGGCAAAGCCGACGGCCUUGGUGUGCCGUGGUCCCCUUUCCAGGCAAACAGAGACUCCUGUAGCAGAGGAACUCCAGGAGUGUAUGAGACCUGGCCUCCCCAUGGAAGUCGGAGCCGGGGACCUGGAUGGCUUCCAGGCCGACACGGAGGAGGAGGAGGAGGAGGAAGGCGACUGUGUGAUCAUGGACAUCUCUGACGUUGGGGACAUCCAGGCCCCGUGUGGAACCACUU